GAUGAACGCUGGCGGCGUGCUUAACACAUGCAAGUCGAACGGAAAGGCACCUGCUUGCUGGGGUACUCGAGUGGCGAACGGGUGAGUAACACGUGGGCGAUGUGCUCUGCACUUUGGGAUAAGCCUGGGAAACUGGGCCUAAUACCGGAUAGGACGCUGGCUAGGAUUCCAUUCUGGAAAGCUUUUCGGUUUGGGCUGAGCUCGCGGCCGAUCAGCUUGUUGGUGGUUUAAUGGCCUACGAAGGCGUCGACGGAUAGCCGGCCUGUGAGGGUGUACGGGCACAAUGCGACUGAGAGACGGCCCAGAGUCCUACGGGAGGCAGCAGUGGGGAGUAUUGCACAAUGGGCGCAAGCCUGAUGCAGCGGCGCCGCGUGGGGGAUGACGGCCUUCGGGUUGUAAACAGCUUUCGCUAAAGACGAAGCGCUAGUGACGGUACCUGGAGAAGAAGCACCGGCUAACUACGUG
rnacentral:rRNA from 1 species